UCGAGCCGGAUGAUGAAAAAUUAUCAUGUCCGGUUCCUUCGGAGGAUGGAUUUUUAAGAAUUCACCUAUCCCAAU
rfam:Populus trichocarpa chloroplast, complete genome.